UACGUAGGCAGCAAGCGUUGUUCGGAGUUACUGGGCGUAAAGGGUGUGUAGGCGGUUGGAUAAGUGUGGUGUGAAAUCUCCCGGCUUAACUGGGAGGGUGCGCUACAAACUGUCUGACUAGAGUGUGGGAUGGGAGAGUGGAAUUCCUGGUGUAGCGGUGAAAUGCGUAGAUAUCAGGAGGAACACCGGUGGUGUAGACGGCUCUCUGGACCAUAACUGACGCUGAGACACGAAAGCGUGGGUAGCAAACAGGAUUAGAUACCCUGGUAGUCCACGCCCUAAACGAUGCAUAUUUGGUGUGGGUCAUUCAUUUGAUCCGUGCCGGAGCUAACGCGUUAAAUAUGCCGCCUGGGGAGUACAGUCGCAAGGCUGAA
rnacentral:rRNA from 1 species